rnacentral:tRNA from 1 species
GGGAGCGUAGCUCAGCUGGUUCAGAGCGUCUGCCUUACAAGCAGAGGGUCGGGGGUUCGAAUCCCUCUGCUCCCACCA